rnacentral:rRNA from 1 species
GACGAACGCUGGCGGCGUGCUUAACACAUGCAAGUCGAACGGAAGGGCCCUGCUUUUGUGGGGUGCUCGAGUGGCGAACGGGUGGGUAACACGUGAGUAACCUGCCCUUGACUUUGGGAUAACUUCAGGAAACUGGGGCUAAUACCGGAUAGGAGCUCCUGCUGCAUGGUGGGGGUUGGAAAGUUUCGGCGGUUGGGGAUGGACUCGCGGCUUAUCAGCUUGUUGGUGGGGUAGUGGCUUACCAAGGCUUUGACGGGUAGCCGGCCUGAGAGGGUGACCGGCCACAUUGGGACUGAGAUACGGCCCAGAUUCCUACGGGAGGCAGCAGUGGGGAAUAUUGCACAAUGGGCGGAAGCCUGAUGCAGCAACGCCGCGUGCGGGAUGACGGCCUUCGGGUUGUAAACCGCUUUCGCCUGUGACGAAGCGUGAGUGACGGUAAUGGGUAAAGAAGCACCGGCUAACUACGUG